GAUGAACGCUAGCGGCAGGCUUAAUACAUGCAAGUCGAGGGGCAGCACGAAUAGCAAUAUUUGGUGGCGACCGGCAAACGGGUGCGGAACACGUACGCAACCUUCCUUUAAGUGGAGAAUAGCCCGGGGAACCCGGAUUAAUACUCCGUAACAUAUAAAGUGGCAUCACUUAGUAAUUAUAGAUUAUCGCUUAAGAUGGGCGUGCGCCUGAUUAGGUAGUUGGCGGAGUAAUAGCCCACCAAGCCUGCGAUCAGUAACUGGUGUGAGAGCACGACCAGUCACACGGGCACUGAGACACGGGCCCGACUCCUACGGGAGGCAGCAGUAAGGAAUAUUGGUCAAUGGACGCAAGUCUGAACCAGCCAUGCCGCGUGGAGGAUGAAGGUCCUCUGGAUCGUAAACUUCUUUUAUUUGGGUAAGAAAUGUGAUUAUUCUUUAUCACUUGACGGUACCAGAUGAAUAAGCACCGGCUAACUCCGUGCCAGCC
rnacentral:rRNA from 1 species